GGAUGUGAGGGCAAUCCGGCUGCGACAUCUGUCACCCCACUGAUCGCCAGGGUUGAUUCGGCUGAUCUGACUGGCUAGGCGGGUGCCCCCUUCCUCCCCCACUGCUCCAAGUGCGUCCUUCCCGAAGCUGCGCGCUCGGUGGAAGAGGACAAUGAUCCCCAAUAGAGGAGGGCCGUUGUUUGGUCCAGGGUAUAUGAGUAGCUGCGCUCCCCCGCUAGAACCUCCAAACAGGCUCUCAAGAAGCUAAGGGUGAGUCUAGAUAAAGAUGAAUCUGGGGUCUGGGCUGGGGUUUUAAGUUGUUCCCAACACAAUUUGCCAGCUCUGAGAAGCU
rnacentral:snRNA from 1 species